ACCAAACAAUCAGGUAGGAAUACCCGCUGAACUUAAGCAUAUCUA
rnacentral:rRNA from 1 species